rnacentral:lncRNA from 10 species
CCACGCUCGGCACAGCUCUUCUGAGAAAGGCCGGGAGCCUGCAGGAGUUCAGAGUGUGGCCAUUCUGUCUGUGGAAGCCUGGGUCCUUUAUCGAGAACCUAAUCCCAUACACCUGGCUCAGGAGAAGAAGCUGAAGGAGGGAAGGGGAAGGCAGAGCAGUUGCAGGUUCUGCUGUGGCUUCCUGCCAUCAGUUUUGGUGCAACAACAGACCAGCAUUUCUUCCUGAUGAGAGACAAUUGACCAUGGAGUGGUUCUGGCCAGUCUAUGGAGAAUGUGCAGCAAAGGUUUUCCUGUCAUCUGCUUCAUCUUUUGAUGUCAGAGGGCCUAAAACUCCACCCUGGGAUUAUGCUAACACUGCCAUUUUUUGUACACAGGACCCAUGAAGAGGCAUGAAGCUCAAUUGCACAUGUGCAUGUUUUUCCUUUUGUAAAUAUUAAUGACUCCUCCUAUAAUCUGUUGAAUAUGUACACUUAACCACUCAACUUACCAUACGUUUCUGUUCCCUUUUCCCCUCCCUUGAAGUAUCUGUUUUUGGCUUCUGACCAGAGACUACACUUCCCAGCCUCUGGGAAUGGCCACCCUGCAGGCUGAAACUCUUCAUGAGAAAUAAAGCUCUUCUUUCUAAAUUUAUGA